UACGUAGGGCGCAGGCGUUAAUCGGAAUUACUGGGCGUAAAGCGUGCGCAGGCGGUCUCUUAAGACAGGUGUGAAAUCCCCGGGCUUAACCUGGGAACUGCGCUUGUAACUGAGAGGCUAGAGUGUGGCAGAGGGGGGUGGAAUUCCACGUGUAGCAGUGAAAUGCGUAGAUAUGUGGAGGAACACCGAUGGCGAAGGCAGCCCCCUGGGCUAACACUGACGCUCAUGCACGAAAGCGUGGGGAGCAAACAGG
rnacentral:rRNA from 1 species